rnacentral:rRNA from 1 species
AGGACGAACGCUGGCGGCGUGCUUGACACAUGCAAGUCGAGCGGAAAGGCCCUUCGGGGUACUCGAGCGGCGAACGGGUGAGUAACACGUGAGCAACCUGCCCUUAGCUCCGGGAUAGCUCCGGGAAACCGGAAUUAAUACCGGAUACAACCACGGCCGACAUCUGCUGUGGUGGAAAGGAUUCCGGCUAAGGAUGGGCUCGCGGCCUAUCAGCUAGUUGGUGGAGUAACGGCCCACCAAGGCGACGACGGGUA